CCUGAGCACUAAGGGGCCGAUGCCACAGC
rnacentral:piRNA from 1 species